AGGCCUGUAGCUCAAUUGGCUAGAGUAGCGGUCUCCAAAACCGUUGGUUGUGGGUUCGAGUCCCUCCAGGCCUGCCA
rnacentral:tRNA from 3 species